rnacentral:misc_RNA from 1 species
GCGCACGAGCGCAUCGGUGAGCCGGGAGGGUGGGGAGAAUAGUUGUGGGCGCGCGGACUCCGCAGGCUCGGACAUGUCCCAGACGAGAGGUGUUGCCACGUUGGGUUGGCGCGCAAGGAUUGGAUUUAGUGAGACGCUGCCUGGUGCAUAGCGCGAAGGCGAAUGGAGAUCGGCUUUUGUGGGCAGUGGUGACCGGAAGAGCUGCGGGGGUGUUGCAGGUCCGGGUGUGGAAUCUAGUGUUGAGCUCGUGUAGGUCGACGAG